GAUGAACGCUAGCGGCAGGCUUAAUACAUGCAAGUCGAGGGGCAGCAUGAUUGUAGCAAUACAAUUGAUGGCGACCGGCAAACGGGUGCGGAACACGUACACAACCUCCCAAUAAGUGGGGAAUAGCCCAGAGAAAUUUGGAUUAAUACCCCGUAACAUAACGAUGUGGCAUCACAUUGUUAUUAUAGAUUUUUCGCUUAUUGAUGGGUGUGCGGCUGAUUAGAUAGUUGGCGGGGUAACGGCCCACCAAGUCUACGAUCAGUAGCUGAUGUGAGGGCAUGAUCAGCCACACGGGCACUGAGACACGGGCCCGACUCCUACGGGAGGCAGCAGUAAGGAAUAUUGGACAAUGGACGCAAGUCUGAUCCAGCCAUGCCGCGUGAAGGAUUAAGGUCCUCUGGAUUGUAAACUUCUUUUAUAAGGGACGAAAAAAGGCUUUUCUAAGUCGUCUGACGGUACCUUAUGAAUAAGCACCGGCUAACUCCGUGCCAGCAGCCGCAGUAAUAC
rnacentral:rRNA from 1 species